GGAAAAUUAUAGCGAUCUUUCAGUGUAAUUGGCCUGAAGUGAAAACCACAGCCUCUGAUGGUGAACAGACCACACGUGAGCCUGUGCUCAAAGCCAUGUUUUUGGCUGACACCCAUUUGCUUGGGGAAUUCCUAGGCCACUGGCUGGACAAAUUACGAAGGGAAUGGCAGAUGGAGAGAGCCUUCCAGACAGCUCUGUGGUUGCUGCAGCCGGAAGUCGUCUUCAUCCUGGGGGAUAUCUUUGAUGAAGGGAAC
rnacentral:lncRNA from 1 species